GACAGAGGGUGCAAACGUUGCUCGGAAUUACUGGGCGUAAAGCGCGUGUAGGCGGGCUGGAAAGUCAGGCGUGAAAUCCCCAGGCUCAACCUGGGAACUGCACUCGAAACUCCCAGUCUAGAGUGGUGGAGAGGGAAGUGGAAUUCCUGGUGUAGAGGUGAAAUUCGUAGAUAUCAGGAGGAACACCAGUGGCAAAGGCGGCUUCCUGGACACCAACUGACGCUGAGACGCGAAAGCGUAGAGAGCAAACAGG
rnacentral:rRNA from 1 species